GGCCGGUUAGCUCAGUUGGUAGAGCGUGGUGCUGAAAACACCAAGGUCAAGGGUUUGGAUCCCCAUAUUGGCCA